UGGGCAACCUGCCCUCAGCUCUGGGAUAACUCCGGGAAACCGGGGCUAAUACCGGAUAUUACCACUCCUGGCAUCUGGGGUGGUGGAAAGUUCUUCGGCUGAGGAUGGGCCCGCGGCCUAUCAGCUUGUUGGUGGGGUUACGGCCCACCAAGGCGACGACGGGUAGCCGGCCUGAGAGGGCGACCGGCCACACUGGGACUGAGACACGGCCCAGACUCCUACGGGAGGCA
rnacentral:rRNA from 1 species